rnacentral:rRNA from 1 species
UACUAGAGUAGCACUUGCAUAUCAAUAAGCGGAGGAAAAGAAACUAACAAGGAUUCCCCUAGUAACGGCGAGUGAAGCGGGAAGAGCUCAAAUUUGAAAUCUUAAAGGGUUUCCCUUUACGAAUUGUAGUUUAAAGAAGUGUUUUCUGUUGAGGUUUUGGUAAAAGUUCUUUGGAAUAGGACAUCAUAGAGGGUGAGAAUCCCGUAUUUGACCUUUACUUUCAACUUUGUGAUACACUUUCAAAGAGUCGGAUUGUUUGGGAAUGCAGUCCAAAAUGGGUGGUAAAUUUCAUCUAAAGCUAAAUAUUGGCGAGAGACCGAUAGCGAACAAGUACCGUGAGGGAAAGAUGAAAAGAACUUUGAAAAGAGAGUUAAACAGUACGUGAAAUUGUCAAAAGGGAAGCGUUUGACACCAGUGUUGUUUUUCUGAAAAUCAAUUAAAGAACUGUUUAUGCUAAGCUGUUUAGACUUUAUCAGCUAUCUGUUUAGUUUUGAGCUUUUCUUUAAUGCACUUUUCAGUUAACAAGUCAACAUCAAUUUCUUUUGCUGUAAAAAAGCUUGAGGAAGGUGGCUUGAGAUUCGUCUUAAGUGUUUAUAGCCUCUUGCCUAUGCAGUCGGAGAGAUUGAGGUCUGCAGCGUAGAUCCUUCGGGGCUAAAUGCAUUUGUGCUAAGUUAUAGCAUUUUAUAGACAACUUGUUGACUAUGAUUUGUCUUGUAGCUUACUCGCUUAUGUUAUUUUACCUACGCUUAGGAUGUUGAACUCUAUCACACACAG